ensembl:lncRNA
CAAAUUUGGUAUGCCUAAUCUAAAGGCCUUUGCGAUGUUAAAUUGCGAAGAUCUUGAGUUUUCGUUGAAGGGCGUGUCCGUGGCGGCCUGACGAAUUUCGAUGAUUCGCCAUGAAAAAUGAAGUUGCUAUAACUCAGACAUACAAUGUCCAAUCUGCCACAAACUUCACAUGUUUGAUAAGACUCCUGACCUGAACAGAUUGAUAUGCCCAUAUUCAGUUAUAGUCAUAGAGCCACCUACUGGCAACAGGAAGUGACAUAUUUUACACUGUAACAAACUACCCCGAGAAAUUUUAUGACAACAAUUUUUUUUUUCCAGUCACUCUAUUCUAAAGCCCUGUGCGAUGUUAAAUUGUGAAGAUCUUGAGUUUUCGUUAAAGGGCGUGUCCAUGGCGCCGUCACAAAGUUCGAUGUCUCGCUAUGGGAAUAAAAAGUUAUUGUAACUCAGGCAUAAAAUGUCCGAUCUUGCCCAAACUUCACAUGUUCGAUAAGUGUCCUGGCCUGAACACAUCUGAAGGCCAAUAUUCCAUUGGGUGUGGCAAAAUGCCUCGAUAGCGCCACCUAUACAUUUUCAACGGAGUGCGCC